rnacentral:lncRNA from 1 species
GGGAUGGAACCCAGGGCUGGAACCCAGAGCCAGAACGGAUCCCAGAGCUGGAACCCGGAGCUGGAACCCAGGGCUGGAUCCCAGAGAUGGAAUGGAUCCCAGAUUCCAGAGCCAGAAUGGAACCCAGAGCUGGAUCCCAGAGCCAGAAUGGAUCCCAGAGCUGGAACCCGGAGCUGGAACCCAGAAUCCCAGAGCUGGAUCCCAGAUUCCAGAGCCGGAUCCAAGACCCAGAUCCCAGAUCCCAGAUCCCAGAGCCAGAAUGGAACCCAGAGCUGGAACCCAGAGCCAGAAUGGAUCCCAGAGCUGGAACCCAGAUCCCAGAUCCAGAUUGGAUCCAAGAUCCAGAUUGGAUCCCGGAGCCAGAUUGGAUCCCAAAGCUGGGUCCUGGAUCCCAAGCAUGGCAUGGGGUUGCAGAAGGGCAGAUCCCAUCCUGGAUCCUGGAUUCCAGGACCAGAUUCCAUCCUGGAUCCUGGAUCCAGAUCCCAAUCCCAGAUCCAGACCCCAAUCCUGGAUCCCAGAUCCAGACCCCAGUCCCGGAUCCCAGGCCCAGAUCCCACCCUGGAUCCCAGAUCCACAGCCCGUGUCCGUGUGGCUGUGCCAGCCUGGCCUCACCAGGUGUGCCCGUGGUGGUUCUGGGGCUCCGUCCCGUCCCAGAUCCCAAACCGGGA